rnacentral:rRNA from 1 species
UACGUAGGGUGCAAGCGUUAAUCGGAAUUACUGGGCGUAAAGCGUGCGCAGGCGGUUUUGUAAGUCUGUUGUGAAAUCCCCGGGCUCAACCUGGGAAUGGCAAUGAAGACUGCAAGGCUAGAGUUUGGCAGAGGGGGGUAGAAUUCCACGUGUAGCAGUGAAAUGCGUAGAUAUGUGGAGGAACACCGAUGGCGAAGGCAGCCCCCUGGGUCAAAACUGACGCUCAUGCACGAAAGCGUGGGGAGCAAACAGG